rnacentral:rRNA from 1 species
GACGAACGCUGGCGGCGUGCUUAACACAUGCAAGUCGAACGAAGAGCGAUGGAAGCUUGCUUCUAUCAAUCUUAGUGGCGAACGGGUGAGUAACGCGUAAUCAACCUGCCCUUCAGAGGGGGACAACAGUUGGAAACGACUGCUAAUACCGCAUACGAUCUAACCUCGGCAUCGAGGAUAGAUAAAGGUGGCCUCUAUUUAUAAGCUAUCGCUGAAGGAGGGGAUUGCGUCUGAUUAGCUAGUUGGAGGGGUAACGGCCCACCAAGGCGAUGAUCAGUAGCCGGUCUGAGAGGAUGAACGGCCACAUUGGGACUGAGACACGGCCCAGACUCCUACGGGAGGCAGCAGUGGGGAAUCUUCCGCAAUGGACGAAAGUCUGACGGACCACCGCCGCGUGAGUGAU